rnacentral:rRNA from 1 species
GAUUAAGUUAUUAAGGGCGCACGGUGGAUGCCUUGGCACUAGAAGCCGAUGAAGGACGUUACUAACGACGAUAUGCUUUGGGGAGC